CUUGUACUCCCUCUGUCCAAAAAUACUUGUCGUUGAAAUGGAUGUAUCUAGAUGUAUUUUAGUUCUAGACACAUCCAUUUUGAUGACAAGUAAUUCCGGACGGAGGGAGUACUUG
rnacentral:pre_miRNA from 1 species